AAGGUUUUAGGUUAAGUAAAACCCCAAGCCUUCAAAGCUUGGGAUGCAAUGGUUUGUUGCAAGCCUUA
rnacentral:tRNA from 1 species